CCCACUUGGGUCCCCUUCCACGUUGUGGAAGCUUUAUUCUUUCGCUCUUUGCAAUAAAUCUUGCUGCUACUCACUCUUUGGGUCCACACUACCUUUAUGAGCUGUAACACUCACCGCGAAGGUCUGCAGCUUCACUCCUGAGGCCAGCGAGACCACGAACCCAGUGGGAGGAAUGAACAACUCCGGACGGGAGGAACGAACAACUCCAGACAAACGGUCUUAAGAGCUGUAACACUCACCGUGAAGGUCUGCAGCUUCACUCCUGAAGCCAGCAAGACCACAAACCCACCAGAAGGAAGAAACUCUGAACAUGUCCGAACAUCAGAAGGAACAAGCUCUGGACACAUCACCUUUAAGAACUGUAACACUCAUCGCGAGGGUCUGCGACUUCAUUCUUGAAGUCAGUGAGACCAAGAACCCACCAAUUACGGAGACAGUGCCAUUUCCUGAUACCAUCUUAUUAGAGAUGGUGUCAGAAGUGGGAUCCAAAGUAGCACUUCUAAUUACCCCCAGUAGUGCCUAGUGACCAAGCAAAGUAUGUUCCUGACCCAUUGUGUCCAUUGCUUUCUCACAGCAACUGGGGAUCAUGGUAAGUUCUCUUUUGGAAAUCAAAGCUCCACAAAUUUGUGUUUUGAGUUAUCUGAGUUUUUUCUUUUCUUUUCUUUUCUUUUUUUUAACAUAUUUCUGAUCCAAAUUGGAUUUGGAAGUCAUGACAGAAACUGGACCAGGUCCAAGAUCAGACUGAAUAUGAUAAUUACCUGGCUGGAACUCAUUUACAAACCUCUUAUAUCUGUCUUGGUCUGAAAGAAACUGAUAGUAAAUGGCAAUAUUGCAGGGAGUAUAAAAUUUGUCUUUUGGAAAUUUGCAGAGAUUUUAGUGUUCUACCCCCUUGGUUUCUUUUUUUUCUUGCAUGCUUAGGUAGGGAAACCAAAUAACUGGCUAAGUUCAUCAAGGGGGAACUAAGAGCCAAAGCCAAUAUUUGAAAUAAAAAUUGGAUCUUUAGUUUCUGAAGAACUGAGCAUUUUCCAGCUAAUAUGUGGAUAAAUAUUAGGCCCCAGAAGCAGCAAAGUCUUACAGAAAUUGCAAAAUCUUGCUAAAGAUAAGUUGCAGUAAAACACUCCAGAUGAACAACACUUCACUGAAGAAGUGUGUUUGAAAAUGAGGGCUCCCAAACUAGUGUCUAAUACAGGGAUGCCUAAUGAUAUGCAGAAGUUUCUAAAAAUAUUUCAGUAUUUUCAUUUAAAUACUCUUUAUAAAAGUUGAAUAAAAACCUUAAGCAAAUACGUGAUAAGAAUUAUUGAAUCUGCCAAACUUUUGGCUUAGUUACUGACCUGCCCAAAGGUGAAAAGAUAGCUAUUCUAAGUAAAGUGUUUCUAAAAGUUAGGCCCUCAGGUAAAACAGGCUCACUUCUUUUUCAGAUCUGUCCAUGCUCAGUCCAGGCAUAGAGAAUGUUUUCUUUGCCUUAGUUCUUAAUGGGAUCCACCCUUAACUCAGUAAUUUUAGCUAAGAAACAGUAGCUAAGUUAAAAAGAACACCUAUCAAACUAAUAUAUGCCUUUCUGAAAUUUUAUUGCCUAUCUUGAAACCCUCUUGUAAAAGAAAUUUACAUCUAUUAAGGACAUUUUCAUUUUUAAUGAUAUCUCCCUUGGUGCAUUAGAAACUCUUAACAUUUGUUUUAAAUUUAAAGAAUAAGUCAUACCUCUGUUUAAGGUACUUUUCUGGCC
rnacentral:lncRNA from 10 species